UCUCGCGUCCAAAUCAUGUCCUUGAGCACGUCCGUGCUCGUCUGCAUCAUCCUGCAUCGCUUCCCCGCCCUGCAUCGCUGUGGUGUGGUCACCAUCGCCGCACCCAUGCCACAACCCGCCCCUGACCUCCAUUGGCAUGGAGGUAGAGCUCCCUUGAGCUCUCCCGAAGCCCUCCCGCAUCUAUAUAUAGCACCCCCGGGUCCUUCGGCACCUCACUCACUCCUCCCCCGCCUCUUUUGCUCGCCGAAAGUGCCCAAUCUCGCCAGAGUUCAUCAUUUCAUCCUCGGCCAUCACCGGAGUUUGGUCCUCCCCGGCCACCUCUGGCCUCCUCUCCUCCUCUAGCCACCUCCAACGACUUCCCCUCGUCUCCGCGAGCCGCCCCACACCCUUGCCCCUCGCCAGUGUGGCCAGCUCCACCGAGGCCACCACCACCACCACUGCCCUUGGCCUCCUUUGGCGCCGCUCCUCCUCGCCUCUCCACCUCUCCCCGGCGUCCACUAGUCCUCUAGAAGGGACCCUCUCGGCCUCCCGCACCCGCCGGAGUGCUCGCCUUGGUCGGAGCUGGCCUGGGCCGGCCGGCCUCCUCGCCGCUUCCUCCCCUGCUCCUCCUCUAUUCACGCAAGGAACAGGGCGAGCGGGAGGAAGGGGACGGGCGCCCGUGCCCCCUCCCCAUGUCCCUGGGCCCCACGCGCCAGGGGCCCAGGCGCCUCAUCCCACGUGUCUAGUGGACACGUAUUCUGCUGAGGACCCGGCUGUGAAUAUUCUUUUUAUAAAAAAGUCCCUGAUCUUCAUCACCUCAUAACUCCGCAACCGUAACUCCGAUCAAGAUGAAACCAUCGCUCACUUCUUCGUCUCGUCGAGCUCUUUCUGUUGGUGCCAUUUUCAUUAGGUGUUCACACUAAGCAAAUGACCAUGAUGCCCUUGCCCUUAUCAGCCCCCUCCGAGAGAGAAGCAUCCGUUGUAUCGUUCCGCGACUUCACCACACUUCUUGCCGAAGGCUCCGUCACCCCCAAGCAAGCCACAACAGCCACUUGCAUGAUAGCCAUGCAGUAGCCAUGGUUUCUACUUGAAUAUUUGAUAAAAUAUUGCCAGUUAUCUUCCUGCU